rnacentral:tRNA from 1 species
AGGGAUGUGGCUCAGUGGUAGAGUGCUUGGCUGGGAUUCGUGAGGAUCUGGGUUCAAUCCCCAGUACCACAA